GCUAGGUGUGGUGGCUCACGCCUGUAAUCCCAGCACUUUGGGAGGCCGAGACGGGUGGAUCACCUGAGGUCAGGAGUUUGAGACCAGCCUGACCAACAUGGUGAAACCCCGUCUCUA
rnacentral:SRP_RNA from 1 species